UGGUGUCUGUAUAAACAAUGACGUAUAUGCAUUAAAAAAUGUGCCCCUUUGACAUAAACCGAGUUGGGCUUUCUUAUUCUCAAAGGGUAAAAAGUCAGACGACAUUUUGCGAUGAACUACGCUUGGGUCAUUAGCACAAAUGGCCUUAUUUUGGGUUGGUCUUUAGUUUUUGUCCCUCCUAUCUCAUUGUUUUAGUUUUUACCCUUUUAACACUUCAAGUUAACAAUAAGUGGAUGAAAUUAUCCCUUCUAUCCCAUAUAGCUUAGGUUUCUUCUCCAACUCAUCUUCUUUCCCAACUUCAUCUUUUCUCUUUCUUCAGAUUUCAAACCCAGAAGCUCCAAGUAUCAACAAUGAUGGAUUUUAAAUUUCACCAUCAACUUCUUUAUGACGGUUUGAAGCUUCCAUUGACAUUAUCCAAACAAUUACCAAAAACGCGUGUGAAGCUAGCAAUACAAAACCAUUGAUUUUGAAAAUCCAUCCCUUGGUAUCCUGCUUCCUCCUACCUUCAACCCCAUUUUUUCUUUUCUAAUCCACAAACUAAAGUUGAUUCAGUGUUGGGGCCUGCAGCUUAAACUAAAUUUAUUCAAUUCAAAUGAAGGACAGAAAAGCAAUAACAGUCAUUGCAAAGAGACUGGUGGAAAUAGAAGGUGCAACAAGAGGAUUUCAGAAUUCACAGCGAGGAAGAGGAAGAAGAAAGGAAAAGGGAAAGAGAGAGAAAGAAAAGAUCAGGUACAAUGAGGACAAAUGACUAGAAACUGAGCAGUUUGUUUGAGUUUGGGAAUCGAGGACCAAGUGUGCACGAGAAGGAGCGAAGAAAAGUGUGGGAAAAACAAGAAGCUUGUUAAAUCCUCUUGGAGUACCACCCCUGCACAUUAUAACCAAAUCACUGAGGAAAAAUUUGGUCCUUGUUAAAUCCUCUUGGGGCGGCGCACCAAGCCAUUUUUUGCAAAGUUUUCCCAGUUUGAUCGGGAUUAGGUCUACUUAAUUUAUUUUUAGCCUUAGACUAUAAAUAAACAUUUUAUUAGCUGUAAACGGCGUGCUAGGAUUAUUCUAAGACUAUAAGCCGUCAUCUCUACUUUCUCUCUCUAGGUUUAUUUUAAUUUCUUCUUUUCAACCCUAGUUUCUUCAUGAAUUCUUGUUUUUCAUCUAGAAUCAUGAGUAGCUAAACUUCUUAAUUCUGGGGUUGUGGCAAAAGACAUGAUAGUUGGUUUGA